rnacentral:lncRNA from 13 species
UUCUGUUCAUCCCAGGUUGUGGCAGCUACUUCCUCAUCGGUUCUAUGAAGUGUUGUUCUGAUCUCAUGUUUCAUGGAAUUUCAUCAAUGGGAAGUCCUUGAGGUCACUGUCGUUCUGUAAAGUAUUUUCUCCAGAUAAGCCCUGAAUUUGUUUCUGCUUAAGUGUAGCAAUAUGAAUAGGACUUCCCCCUCUCUUAUUCUCCCCAUUAGGGUCAAAAUUAAGACAGGUUCUACUCCAGAAAGUGCGUUUUCCAGACUUCCCACUGAGGAUGUGAUUUCUGAAAUCCUGGGCUUUGUGGAGCCCCUGGCAUGACCUCCCCCUCACCCUACCCAGGCCCUGCCUCCUGUUCCACCCCAUGAGACCCUAUUCACUCAGGCGCUUGCUUCCAGAGUGCGGGCAGCGAGGAGCCAGGAACACGCCCUGUGAUAUAGGCAGCACCUUCCUAGGCUGUACAGGAAGAGCCAGAGCUUCAGCACCGUGCCUUCCUGUAGCCCAGGCACAGUUUCACUGACACCGGCCUUGUCAGAGAUGCUGGGUGGAGGGACUUCUCUGAACACAUAGUCAGAAAGAACUCGGGGAAAGCGAACUCCACAGCCUUGUUUCUCCCAGGCACCCUGACUCCCGGUCAGUGUUGGUCAUGUCUCCACUGCCUCACUGUGCCCACGCCCGGCCUACAGUUUGCUUCUAUUUACCAACCAAAUACAAUACCUGUUCCAUUUUGUAAGUUACAAAACAAUGUAAAAUCCUCAUGGAAAAUCUAAAAUUGCUUCAAUCGUUUCCUUAAGAGGAAUGAAAAAUUCAGAAUUAUGACAAGUAAUACUUGAAUAAGUUACCCAUAUAAUUAAUGUAUUUCAGUAGGAAGCUACCAGAAAAGGCUAAAUGUAUGACAUAAAUAUGAGACAAAACAUUGCAUAUGGUUUGGAAUAAGAUUAACAAGGAAAAACCUAUCACUUUUAAGUAAAAUUUAUCAGUGGUCUGCCUUAAAUUUGGGUUGAAUUCAGGGUUGGCCCAGUCAGGAGAGCCACGUGGAUGAAAAGCUUUCACGUCGCAUUUCUUGCGAUAGGUGAGGAAGCAAAUUCCCCGCCAUUUCACAUCUAAUAUAAUCCAUUGUUGGUGAGAAGAUGGCUAAAUUGGUUGAUCAUUUUGUAAUAAAAUAUCUCAG